rnacentral:rRNA from 1 species
GACGAACGCUGGCGGCGUGCCUAAUACAUGCAAGUCGAACGCAGUGGGGACGGGUGAGUAACACGUGGGUAACCUCCCAUCAGAGGGGAUAAAACUUGGAAACAGGUGCUAAACCGAUACUGAUGGAUGGAACCGCGGUGCAUUAGCUAGGUGUUGAGGUAACGGCUCACCAAGGCCAGGAUGCAUAGCCGCCCUGAUAGGGUUCUCUGCCACACUGGGACGGAGACACGGCCCAGAUUCCGACGUGAGGCAGCAGUAGGGAAUCUUCGGCAAUGGACGAAAGUCUGACCGGGCAACGCCGCGUGAGUGAAGAAGGUUUGCGGAUCGUAAAACUCUGUUGUUAGAGAAGCGGUAUCUAACCAGAAAGCCACGGCUAACUACGUGCCAGCCGCCGCGGUAAUAC